UGUACCGACCCCUGAGCCCCCCUUCAGGAACCGUUCGGAGCUCGAGACAUGUCGCGAUUGAGGAGAUACGAGGUGGCGCUGGAAGCGGAGGAGGAGAUCUACUGGGGCUGCUUCUACUUUUUUCCUUGGCUGCGAAUGUGGCGCAGGGAGCGGAGCUCGGCGCACCCCCGGGAGCAGAAGCUGGAGCCUCUGCGGGGCCUAAUGAGCUGUUUGUCGAGCGGCCUGAGGCCUGCUCCCCAGCGCUCAGGUCGCGGUCUCCUCUGUCGCACCCCCACCGCUGCUGCACAGACAGCCGGUGCAUUAAAGAUUUAAAGUC
rnacentral:lncRNA from 1 species